rnacentral:rRNA from 1 species
GAUGAACGCUGGCGGCGUGCCUAAUACAUGCAAGUCGAGCGAACAGACGAGGAGCUUGCUCCUCUGACGUUAGCGGCGGACGGGUGAGUAACACGUGGAUAACCUACCUAUAAGACUGGGAUAACUUCGGGAAACCGGAGCUAAUACCGGAUAAUAUAUGGAACCGCAUGGUUCAAUAGUGAAAGACGGUUUUGCUGUCACUUAUAGAUGGAUCCGCGCCGCAUUAGCUAGUUGGUAAGGUAACGGCUUACCAAGGCAACGAUGCGUAGCCGACCUGAGAGGGUGAGCGGCCACACUGGAACUGAGACACGGUCCAGACUCCUACGGGAGGCAGCAGUAGGGAAUCUUGCGCAAUGGGCGAAAGCCUGACGGAGCAACGCCGCGUGAGUGAUGAAGGUCUUCGGAUCGUAAAACUCUGUUAUUAGGGAAGAACAAAUGUGUAAGUAACUAUGCACGUCUUGACGGUACCUAAUCAGAAAGCCACGGCUAACUACGUG